rnacentral:rRNA from 1 species
AAACCCUUUAACGAGGAUCUAUUGGAGGGCAAGUCUGGUGCCAGCAGCCGCGGUAAUUCCAGCUCCAAUAGCGUAUAUUAUUAUUGUUGCGGUUAAAAAGCUCGUAGUUGGAUCUCGGUUUCGGGCGAGCGGUGUACCUUGCGGUAUUUACUGUUUGCCCGGACGAUUUUGUUGGUUCGUUUAUGGUUCUCUUAACCGAGUGCCAUAAGUGGCCAGCACGUUUACUUUGAAAAAAUUGGAGUGCUCAAAGCAGGCGCUACAGCCUGAACAUUAGUGCAUGGAAUAAUGGAAUAGGAUCUCGGUUCUAUUUCGUUGGCUUUCGGAGUCGAGGUAAUGAUUAAUAGGGACAGACGGGGGCAUUCGUACUGCGACGUUAGAGGUGAAAUUCUUGGAUCGUCGCAAGACGAACUACUGCGAAAGCAUUUGCCAAGAAUGUUUUCAUUAAUCAAGAACGAAAGUUAGAGGUUCGAAGGCGAUCAGAUACCGCCCUAGUUCUAACCAUAAACGAUGUCGACCGGCGAUCCGUUAUCGUUAACUGAAUGACUUAACGGGCAGCCUCCGGGAAACCAGAGUGUUUGGAUUCCGGGGGAAGUAUGGUUGCAAAGCUGAAACUUAAAAGAAUUGACGGAAGGGCACCACCAGGAGUGGAGCCUGCGGCUUAAUUUGACCCAACACGGGAAAUCUCACCAGGCCCGGACACCGGAAGGAUUGACAGAUUGACAGCUCUUUCUUGAUUCGGUGGGUGGUGGUGCAUGGCCGUUCUUAGUUGGUGGAGCGAUUUGUCUGGUUAAUUCCGAUAACGAACGAGACUCUGGCCUACUAACUAGACGUUAGAUCCCUUUGUGGGUCUAUCGCAGCUUCUUAGAGGGACGGGCGGCGUUUAGCCGCACGAGAUUGAGCAAUAACAGGUCUGUGAUGCCCCUAGAUGUUCUGGGCUGCACGCGCGCUACACUGAAGGAAUCAGCGUGUGUUCCCUACCCGAAAGGGUUGGGAAACCCGUUGAACCUCCUUCGUGAUGGGGAUUGGGGAUUGCAAUUAUUCCCCAUGAACGAGGAAUUCCCAGUAGGCGCGAGUCAUAAGCUUGCGUCGAUUACGUCCCUGCCCUUUGUACACACCGCCCGUCGCUACUACCGAUCGAGUGAUUUAGUGAGGCCUUCGGACUGGUCUUCAGUAUGGCUUUCGGGUCGUGUUGGAGUACCGGAAAGAUGACCAAACUUGAUCACUUAGAGGAAGCAAAAGUC